AGCGAAGUGGUUGAUGCCAUGCUUCCAGGAAAAGCCUCUAAGCUUCAGGUAACUAGGAACCGUACCCCAAACCGACACAGGUGGUUGGGUAGAGAAUACCAAGGCGCUUGAGAGAACUCUGCUGAAGGAACUAGGCAAAAUGGUACCGUAACUUCGGGAGAAGGUACGCUGCCGACGGUGAUAGGAUUUACUCCUUGAGCUAUUGGCAGCCACAGAAACCAGGCCCCUGCAACUGUUUAUUAAAAACAUAGCACUCUGCAAACACGAAAGUGGACGUAUAGGG
rnacentral:rRNA from 1 species